rnacentral:rRNA from 1 species
GUCUUUGGGGGGGCGGGAACCCCCGGGAACUGGGGCUAAUACCUGAUAGAUGAGGAGGCUUGGAACAGUCCCUCGUCGAAAAGGGAACGCGUCCAUAUCAUGUGUUCUCGCCCAAGGAUGGGGCUGCGGCCGAUCAGGUAGUUGGUGAGGUAACGGCUUACCAAGCCUCUGACCGGUACGGGCCGUGAGAGCGGAAGCCCGGAGAUGGGUACUGAGACAAGGACCCAGGCCCUACGGGGCGCAGCAGGCGCGAAACCUCCACAAUGCGCGCAAGCGCGAUGGGGUUACCUCGAGUGCCGUCUGAAGAAGAUGGCUUUUCCAUAGUGUAAUGAUCUAUGGGAAUAAGAGGGGGGCAAGACUGGUGUCAGCCGCCGCGGUAACACCAGCCCCUCGAGUGGUGGGGACAGUUAUUUGGCCUAAAGCGUUCGUAGCCGGUUCCAUAAGUCCCUCGUUAAAUCCGACGUCCUAAGCGUUGGACUGCGAGGAAUACUAUGGGGCUAGAGGGUGGGAGAGGCCAGCGGUAUUUUUGGGGUAGGGGUAAAAUCCUCUGAUCCCAGAAGGACCACCAGUGGCGAAGGCUGCUGGCUAGAACACGCCUGACGGUGAGGGACGAAAGCUGGGGGAGCGAACCGGAUUAGAUACCCGGGUAGUCCCAGCUGUAAACGAUGCAGGCUAGGUGUUGGAGUGGCCAUGCGCCACUUCAGUGCCACAGGGAAGCCGUUAAGCCUGCCGCCUGGGGAGUACGGUCGCAAGGCUGAAACUUAAAGGAAUUGGCGGGGGAGCAC